rnacentral:rRNA from 1 species
AGUGAACGCUGGCGGUAGGCCUAACACAUGCAAGUCGAACGGCAGCACAGUAAGAGCUUGCUCUUACGGGUGGCGAGUGGCGGACGGGUGAGGCAUACAUCGGAAUCUACUUUUUCGUGGGGGAUAACGUAGGGAAACUUACGCUAAUACCGCAUACGACCUACGGGUGAAAGCAGGGGAUCUUCGGACCUUGCGCGAUUGAAUGAGCCGAUGUCGGAUUAGCUAGUUGGCGGGGUAAAGGCCCACCAAGGCGACGAUCCGUAGCUGGUCUGAGAGGAUGAUCAGCCACACUGGAACUGAGACACGGUCCAGACUCCUACGGGAGGGAGCAGUGGGGAAUAUUGGACAAUGGGCGCAAGCCUGAUCCAGCCAUACCGCGUGGGUGAAGAAGGCCUUCGGGUUGUAAAGCCCUUUUGUUGGGAAAGAAAAGCAGCAGGUUAAUACCCCGCUGUUCUGACGGUACCCAAAGAAUAAGCACCGGCUAACUUCGUG